rnacentral:rRNA from 1 species
GACGAACGCUGGCGGCGUGCUUAACACAUGCAAGUCGAACGGAAAGGCCUGCUUUCCCUUGUGGAUUGCGGGUACUCGAGUGGCGAACGGGUGAGUAACACGUGAGUGAUCUGCCCCCAACUUGGGUAUAAGCCUGGGAAACUGGGUCUAAUUCCCGAUAGGACUGCAGGGUGGUGCCUGUGGUGGAACACGAUUUUCUAGUGGUUGGGGAUGAGCUCGCGGCCUAUCAGCUUGUUGGUGGGGUAAUGGCCUACCAAGGCGGCGACGGGUAGCCGGCCUGAGAGGGUGGACGGCCACAUUGGGACUGAGAUACGGCCCAGACUCCUACGGGAGGCAGCAGUGGGGAAUAUUGCGCAAUGGGCGGAAGCCUGAUGCAGCGACGCCGCGUGGGGGAUGGCGGCCUUCGGGUUGUAAACUCCUUUCGACCGCGAGGAAGCCACCUGGUUGGAAGGGUGGUGACGGUAGUGGUAGAAGAAGCACCGGCUAACUACGUG